GAGAGAAGCAAACGAGAGAGAAACACCACAGGGGCGAGUUUUUUUUUUUUUUUUUUUUUCUUUUCGGUUCAUUUUUUCCCCUUCUUCUUCACCUUGUUCCU
rnacentral:ribozyme from 1 species